AGAGUUUGAUCAUGGCUCAGAUUGAACGCUGGCGGCAGGCCUAACACAUGCAAGUCGAGCGGUAGCACAGAGAGCUUGCUCUCGGGUGACGAGCGGCGGACGGGUGAGUAAUGUCUGGGAAACUGCCUGAUGGAGGGGGAUAACUACUGGAAACGGUAGCUAAUACCGCAUAAUGUCGCAAGACCAAAGUGGGGGACCUUCGGGCCUCAUGCCAUCAGAUGUGCCCAGAUGGGAUUAGCUAGUAGGUGGGGUAACGGCUCACCUAGGCGACGAUCCCUAGCUGGUCUGAGAGGAUGACCAGCCACACUGGAACUGAGACACGGUCCAGACUCCUACGGGAGGCAGCAGUGGGGAAUAUUGCACAAUGGGCGCAAGCCUGAUGCAGCCAUGCCGCGUGUGUGAAGAAGGCCUUCGGGUUGUAAAGCACUUUCAGCGGGGAGGAAGGCGUUAAGGUUAAUAACCUUGGCGAUUGACGUUACCCGCAGAAGAAGCACCGGCUAACUCCGUGCCAGCAGCCGCGGUAAUACGGAGGGUGCAAGCGUUAAUCGGAAUUACUGGGCGUAAAGCGCACGCAGGCGGUCUGUCAAGUCGGAUGUGAAAUCCCCGGGCUCAACCUGGGAACUGCAUUCGAAACUGGCAGGCUAGAGUCUUGUAGAGGGGGGUAGAAUUCCAGGUGUAGCGGUGAAAUGCGUAGAGAUCUGGAGGAAUACCGGUGGCGAAGGCGGCCCCCUGGACAAAGACUGACGCUCAGGUGCGAAAGCGUGGGGAGCAAACAGGAUUAGAUACCCUGGUAGUCCACGCCGUAAACGAUGUCGAUUUGGAGGUUGUGCCCUUGAGGCGUGGCUUCCGGAGCU
rnacentral:rRNA from 1 species